rnacentral:misc_RNA from 1 species
UAGACUCGUGAAGUAAUGCAAGUUUUUCCUCCAGCACCGAAGCUCUCUACCACAGAGUUGUCUAUCAAACUCCUAAGUGAAAUCUUCUUUCCUUUUUCUACGUCAACAUCCACGAAACCUCCGAAGGACUGCUUCCACAACUCUGGUCUUUCUGACGACUUGCUGGAAUCAUGACACAUAAGAACAACAUGCUUGUUGGAUGCUUUGAAUAUCCUGAUAAAGACAGCUGUUUUUUCCUCCAUAUCCGCGGAAGCCAGUACCAGCAGCCCAAAUGGUCCAACCCCACCGUUCACAUAAGCACCCUUGAGCCCACAUAGAACUUGUGGGUCAGUCCACGUCGGGUCAAAUGGCUCAGCCUUUUCCAGACUUGGCACGUCAAAG